AGAGUUUGAUCCUGGCUCAGAACGAACGCUGGCGGAGUGCCUAAUACAUGCAAGUCGAGCGAGAAAGAGGGGGCAACUCCUUGAGUAGAGCGGCGACCGGGUGAGUAACACGUAAGCAACUUACCUCUAAGUUUGGGAUAACCUUGCUAACGCAGGGCUAAUACUGGAUGUGGUCCACGGGUUUCAUGGUUUGUGGAUUAAAGAUGACCUCUUGAACAAAGUUAUUGCUUAGAGAUGGGCUUGCGGCCCAUUAGCUAGUUGGCAGGGUAACAGCCUACCAAGGCAGUGAUGGGUAGCCGACCUGAGAGGGUGAACGGCCACAUUGGGACUGAGAUACGGCCCAGACUCCUACGGGAGGCAGCAGUAGGGAAUUUUGCGCAAUGGACGAAAGUCUGACGCAGCAACUCCGCGUGAAGGAUGAAGGCCUUCGGGUUGUAAACUUCUGUUGAGUGGGAAGAAAAGUUUGUGCGCUAAUAUCGCAUAGACGUGACGGUACUACUCGAGAAAGCUCCGGCUAACUACGUGCCAGCAGCCGCGGUAAUACGUAGGGAGCUAGCGUUUUUCGGAAUCACUGGGCGUAAAGGGAGUGUAGGCGGAUUGAUAAGUUAGGAGUGAAAUGUACAGGCUCAACCUGUGACCUGCUUUUAAUACUGUCAGUCUGGAGUAUGGGAGAGGAAGAUGGAAUUCCAGGUGUAGUGGUAAAAUACGUAGAUAUCUGGAAGAACACCAGUUGCGAAGGCGGUCUUCUGGCCCAAUACUGACGCUGAGGCUCGAAAGCUAGGGGAGCAAACAGGAUUAGAUACCCUGGUAGUCCUAGCUGUAAACGAUGGACACUAGAUGCUGGGAGCGUUAAAGCUUUCGGUGUCGCAGCUAACGCAUUAAGUGUCCCGCCUGGGGAGUACGCUCGCAAGGGUGAAACUCAAAGGAAUUGACGGGGGCCCGCACAAGCGGUGGAGCAUGUGCUUUAAUUCGAUGCAACGCGAAGAACCUUACCUGGUCUUGACAUGGGAAUGAAAUGCUUUAGAGAUAGAGUACCCUCCUUCGGGAGCAUUCUACACAGGUGCUGCAUGGUUGUCGUCAGCUCGUGUCGUGAGAUGUUGGGUUAAGUCCCGCAACGAGCGCAACCCUCGUCCUUAGUUGCCAUCAGGUAAAGCUGGGAACUCUAAGGAGACUGCCUGGUUUAACCAGGAGAAAGGUGGGGAUGACGUCAAAUCAUCAUGGCCCUUACGACCAGGGCCAGACACGUGCUACAAUGGACGGUACAGAGGGACGCAAGCCCGCGAGGUCAAGCUAAUCCCUAAAAACCGUUCUCAGUUCAGAUUGGAGUCUGCAAUUCGACUCCAUGAAGCUGGAAUCGCUAGUAAUCGCGGAUCAGAACGCCGCGGUGAAUACGUUCCCGGGCCUUGUACACACCGCCCGUCAAGCCAUGAAAGGUGGGAGUACCCGAAGUCGCUUAUUUAACCCGCAAGGGAGGAAUGCGCCUAAGGUAAGACCACUGAUUGGGGCUAAGUCGUAACAAGGUA
rnacentral:rRNA from 1 species